UGGGGAAUAUUGGACAAUGGGCGCAAGCCUGAUCCAGCCAUGCCGCGUGAGUGAUGAAGGCCUUAGGGUUGUAAAGCUCUUUCGCCGACGAAGAUAAUGACGGUAGUCGGAGAAGAAGCCCCGGCUAACUUCGUGCCAGCAGCCGCGGUAAUACGAAGGGGGCUAGCGUUGUUCGGAAUCACUGGGCGUAAAGCGCACGUAGGCGGAUUGUUAAGUCAGGGGUGAAAGCCUGGAGCUCAACUCCAGAACUGCCCUUGAUACUGGCAAUCUCGAGUCCGGAAGAGGUAAGUGGAACUGCGAGUGUAGAGGUGAAAUUCGUAGAUAUUCGCAAGAACACCAGUGGCGAAGGCGGCUUACUGGUCCGGUACUGACGCUGAGGUGCGAAAGCGUGGGGGAGCAAAACAGGAUUAGAUACCCUGGUAGUCCACGCCGUAAACGAUGGAGGCUAGCCGUUGGCGAGCAUGCUCGUCAGUGGCGCAGCUAACGCAUUAAGCCUCCCGCCUGGGGAGUACGGUCGCAAGAUU
rnacentral:rRNA from 1 species